AUUGAACGCUGGCGGCAGGCCUAACACAUGCAAGUCGAGCGGAGCGGCGGACGGGUGAGUAAUGCCUAGGAAUCUGCCUGGUAGUGGGGGAUAACGUCCGGAAACGGGCGCUAAUACCGCAUACUAUCAGAUGAGCCUAGGUCGGAUUAGCUAGUUGGGGGGGUAAAGGCCUACCAAGGCGACGAUCCGUAACUGGUCUGAGAGGAUGAUCAGUCACACUUGAAAUGAGACACGGUCCAGACUCCUACGGGCGGCAGCAGGGGGGAAGAUUUGACAAUGGGCGAAAGCAUGAUCCAGCAAAGCCGCGUGUGUGAAGAAGGUCGUCGGAGUGUAAAGCACUUUAAGUUGGGAGGCGUUACCAACAGAAUACGCACCGGCUAACUUCGUGCCAGGAGCCGCGGUAAUUC
rnacentral:rRNA from 1 species